rnacentral:misc_RNA from 1 species
GUCUGACCUAAGUGUAACAAUAUUUGCAAAAUGGCUACUGCAGCUUCCCCAAUGGCUAGCCAGUUGAAGAGCAGUUUUACUUCGUCUUUAACCAGAGGUCACGGCCUUGUUACUCCCAAAGGCAUUUCUGGUGCGCCUUUCAAGAUUUUCCCUUCAACAAGAAAGUCUUGCUUCACCAUCAAGGCUGUCCAAGCUGAUAAACCUACUUUCCAAGUGAUUCAGCCACUGAAUGGUGACCCUUUCAUUGGAAGUCUUGAAACUCCAGUCACCUCAAGCCCAUUGAUUGCAUGGUACCUAUCCAACUUGCCUGCCUACCGGACCGCGGUGAACCCGCUUCUCCGGGGAGUAGAAGUGGGCCUGGCCCAUGGAUUCUUACUAGUUGGGCCUUUUGUAAAAGCUGGUCCAUUAAGAAACACAGCUUAUGCAGGGGGAGCUGGUUCAUUGGCAGCAGCAGGACUUGUGGUGAUCCUUAGCAUGUGUUUGACAAUUUAUGGAAUUUCAUCAUUCAAAGAAGGAGAUCCAUCAACAGCACCAGCAUUGACAUUGACUGGCAGGAAAAAAGUACCAGAUCAAUUGCAAACUGCAGAUGGAUGGGCUAAAUUCACUGGUGGAUUCUUUUUUGGUGGAAUUUCUGGUGUCACUUGGGCUUAUUUCCUCCUAUAUGUCCUUGAUCUUCCUUACUUUGUUAAGUAAAUUUCAUUAAUUGAUGCAACUAUUAUGAAUCAAAGUUGUAUAUCGAACCGCUUGAUCUCUUGGGGGAAUGUAAUGAAUUUUUACUAGCA